CAGCAUGGUAGGUAGCAAUACUUAUUGAUGGCGACCGGCGCACGGGUGAGUAACGCGUAUGCAACUUACCUAUCAGAGGGGGAUAGCCCGGCGAAAGUCGGAUUAAUACUCCAUAAAACAGGGGUCCCGCAUGGGACUAUUUGUUAAAGAUUCAUCGCUGAUAGAUAGGCAUGCGUUCCAUUAGGCAGUUGGCGGGGUAACGGCCCACCAAACCGACGAUGGAUAGGGGUUCUGAGAGGAAGGUCCCCCACAUUGGUACUGAGACACGGACCAAACUCCUACGGGAGGCAGCAGUGAGGAAUAUUGGUCAAUGGCCGAGAGGCUGAACCAGCCAAGUCGCGUGAAGGAUGAAGGAUCUAUGGUUUGUAAACUUCUUUUAUAGGGGAAUAAAGUGUGGGACGUGUCCCAUUUUGUAUGUACCCUAUGAAUAAGCAUCGGCUAACUCCGUGCCAGCAGCCGCGGUAAUACGGAGGAUGCGAGCGUUAUCCGGAUUUAUUGGGUUUAAAGGGUGCGUAGGUGGUAAUUUAAGUCAGCGGUGAAAGUUUGUGGCUCAACCAUAAAAUUGCCGUUGAAACUGGGUUACUU
rnacentral:rRNA from 1 species